CAGCCGCCGCGGUAAUACAGAGGGUGCGAGCGUUAAUCGGAUUUACUGGGCGUAAAGCGUGCGUAGGCGGCUUUUUAAGUCGGAUGUGAAAUCCCUGAGCUUAACUUAGGAAUUGCAUUCGAUACUGGGAAGCUAGAGUAUGGGAGAGGAUGGUAGAAUUCCAGGUGUAGCGGUGAAAUGCGUAGAGAUCUGGAGGAAUACCGAUGGCGAAGGCGGCCAUCUGGCCUAAUACUGACGCUGAGGUACGAAAGCAUGGGGAGCAAACAGGAUUAGAUACCUCCGUAGUCCCUGUCUCUUAUAC
rnacentral:rRNA from 1 species